rnacentral:rRNA from 1 species
UACGAAGGGGGCUAGCGUUGCUCGGAAUCACUGGGCGUAAAGGGUCCGUAGGCGGGUCUUUAAGUCAGGGGUGAAAUCCUGGAGCUCAACUCCAGAACUGCCUUUGAUACUGAGGAUCUUGAGUUCGGGAGAGGUGAGUGGAACUGCGAGUGUAGAGGUGAAAUUCGUAGAUAUUCGCAAGAACACCAGUGGCGAAGGCGGCUCACUGGCCCGAUACUGACGCUGAGGCACGAAAGCGUGGGGAGCAAACAGG